rnacentral:rRNA from 1 species
UACGUAGGGUGCAAGCGUUGUCCGGAAUUAUUGGGCGUAAAGAGCUCGUAGGCGGCUUGUCGCGUCGUCCGUGAAAACCCAUGGCUCAACUGUGGGCUUGCGGUCGAUACGGGCAGGCUGGAGUUCGGUAGGGGAGACUGGAAUUCCUGGUGUAGCGGUGAAAUGCGCAGAUAUCAGGAGGAACACCGGUGGCGAAGGCGGAUCUCUGGGCCGUAACUGACGCUGAGGAGCGAAAGCAUGGGGAGCGAACAGG